UCAACCGCGGAACUGCAUUCGAAACUACAGGGCUAGAGAACGAGAGGGGUAGAGGGAAUUCCCGGUGUAAGGGUGAAAUCUGCAGAGAUCGGGAAGAACACCAGUCGCGAAGGCGCUCUACUGGCUCGCUUCUGACGCUGAGGGACGAAAGCUAGGGGAGCCAACGGGAUUAGAUACCCCGGUAGUCCUAGCUGUAAACGAUGCUCACUAGGUGUUGGAGGGGUCUCCCCUUCGGUGCCGCAGCUAACGCAUUAAGUGAGCCGCCUGGGGAGUACGGUCGCAAGGUUGAAACUCAAAGGAAUUGACGGGGACCCGCACAAACGGUGGAGCAUGUGGUUUAAUACGACGAUACGCGUGGAACCUUACCCAGGCUUGACAUGCAUGUGAAAGCCCUAUGAAAGUAGGGCCCUCUCUUCGGAGACGC
rnacentral:rRNA from 1 species